rnacentral:lncRNA from 1 species
CUUGAGGCCGGAGCAGACGCCAUAGCUGUUCCACUCGCUCUUCCAUGAGUUCACGCCGUCGGUGCGAGGACACUUGAUGUUGCUCCAGUAGUGGUUCAGGUUGUUCUCGAUUGAGUCUAGCUGCAAUAUACAUGUAAUUAUAUAUUUACAGACAUGAAGCUAAUUAAAUGAGACUGCUAGCUUGUAAAUUAAUGUGUGCUAACCUUGUUAAUGUCGAAAGGAUUGUCGGAGUUGCACCUGACAACAGCUGUGUUCUCUGACGAGUCAAAGGUCAUGAAGCUCUUGACGAAGAAAUCUUCUGACGGGUAACCAUACUUGGG